GAGUUUGAUCAUGGCUCAGAACGUACGCUGGCGGCACGCCUAACACAUGCAAGUCGAACGAAGUAGCAAUACUUAGUGGCAGACGGGUGAGUAACAUGUAGGUAUCUACCCUUUGGCCUGGAAUAACACGAGGAAACUUGUGCUAAUACCGGAUAAGUCUUUACGGAGAAAGCUUUAUGCACCAUUGGAUGAGCCUGCACUUGAUUAGUUUGUUGGUGGGGUAAUGGCCUACCAAGACUGUGAUCAAUAGCUGAUUUGAGAGGAUGAUCAGCCACAUUGGGACUGAGACACGGCCCAAACUCCUACGGGAGGCAGCAGUGGGGAAUCUUGCACAAUGGAGGAAACUCUGAUGCAGCGAUGCCGCGUGAGUGAAGAAGGCCUUUGGGUUGUAAAGCUCUUUCGUCGGGGAAGAAAAUGACUGUACCCGAAUAAGAAGGUCCGGCUAACUUCGUGCCAGCAGCCGCGGUAAUACGAAGGGACCUAGCGUAGUUCGGAAUUACUGGGCUUAAAGAGUUCGUAGGUGGUUGAAAAAGUUGGUGGUGAAAUCCCAGAGCUUAACUCUGGAACUGCCAUCAAAACUUUUCAGCUAGAGUAUGAUAGAGGAAAGCAGAAUUUCUAGUGUAGAGGUGAAAUUCGUAGAUAUUAGAAAGAAUACCAAUUGCGAAGGCAGCUUUCUGGAUCAUUACUGACACUGAGGAACGAAAGCAUGGGUAGCGAAGAGGAUUAGAUACCCUCGUAGUCCAUGCCGUAAACGAUGUGUGUUAGACGUUGGAAAUUUAUUUUCAGUGUCGCAGCGAAAGCGAUAAACACACCGCCUGGGGAGUACGACCGCAAGGUUAAAACUCAAAUGAAUUGACGGGGACCCGCACAAGUAGUGGAGCAUGUGGUUUAAUUCGAAGAUACGCGCAGAACCUUACCAACACUUGACAUGUUCGUCGCGACUUUAAGAGAUUAAAGUUUUCGGUUCGGCCGGACGAAACACAGGUGCUGCAUGGCUGUCGUCAGCUCGUGUCGUGAGAUGUUGGGUUAAGUCCCGCAACGAGCGCAACCCUCACUUUUAGUUGCCAUCAUUAAGUUGGGCACUCUGAAAGAACUGCCAGUGAUAAGCUGGAGGAAGGUGGGGAUGACGUCAAGUCCUCAUGGCCCUUACGUGUUGGGCUACACACGUGCUACAAUGGUAUCUACAACAGGAAGCAAGACGGCGACGUUAAGCAAAUCCUUAAAAGAUACCUCAGUUCGGAUUGCACUCUGCAACUCGAGUGCAUGAAGCUGGAAUUACUAGUAAUCGUGGAUCAGCGUGCCACGGUGAAUGCGU
rnacentral:rRNA from 1 species